rnacentral:rRNA from 1 species
GAGUUGAGAGACUGAUCGGCCACAUUGGGACUGAGACACGGCCCANAACUCCUACGGGAGGCAGCAGUAGGGAAUCUUCCACAAUGGACGCAAGUCUGAUGGAGCAACNGCCGCGUGAGUGAAGAAGGUUUUC